rnacentral:rRNA from 1 species
CACGGGGGGAGCAAGCGUUGUUCGGAAUCACUGGGCGUAAAGGGCGUGUAGGCGGUCAAGUAAGUGGAAUGUGAAAGCCCCCGGCUUACCCGGGGAUCUGCAUCCCAAACUGCUUGGCCUGAGUACGGGAGAGGAUAGGGGAAUUCCUGGUGUAGCGGUGAAAUGCGUAGAUAUCUGGAGGAAUACCGGUGGCGAAGGCGGCAUCCUGGACCGACAUUGACGCUGAGGAGCGAAAACCAGGGGAGCAAACGGG